rnacentral:lncRNA from 1 species
AUGAGAGGCCACCAAGGGCUCUUUUCUGCUUGCCCCCCUCCCCCAGUCCUUCCCCCCGGCCGGUGGUCCCAGGGGCACGCGAACCUUUUCUGGCACCUCACGGCAGCCGUCGCGCGCGGGUCCACGGUCCGCUCGGGCCGGGUAGUGCAGGCAGUCUGCCCUAGCUCGAGAGGCGCGCGAAGCGGAGCGCGCACCGGGCGGGCCGCGCGCGGGGUCGGAGAGCGCUCCCUCCGGGAUCGCGGCUGCGCAGUCGCGCCAGAGCCGGGAAAAGAGGGAGGAGGGUGGAGGAGCCGGAGUAAGGGGAGGGGGAGGAGCGGCGAAAGCGGAAGCCAUGUUGGAGUUUCACCCGGAGCGAGGGGCUGCGAGCGUUCUUCGCUCCGUGAAGACUUCGAGCUGAUUCAGCGCAUCGGCAGCGGCACCUACGGCGACGUCUACAAGGUGAGGGUGAGGGGCCGCGCGCCGCCGAGGCCUCGGGGGCGCUGACCCGCCGCGGGGAGGGCCCGGGGCGCCGGCGAGCCGCUGCCUCUCGGCGAGAGACGCUGGCGUCCGGGAGCCGUGGGGGAGGAGGAGCAGCGGGCGCCCAGGGCUCCGCGGCCGUGCAGCGAACAAAGGGCCAGACGAUUAACCCGGGGACCUCCGAGUCCUUACCUGAUCUUGCCCCGGACGCACAUUUCCCGGGGAGGGCUGACCGGCGGCGGCUACGCUGCUCAUCCGCGCGCAGAGAGGGUCAUCGCGUUUGUUGCAUUGGCAGGAUCCGGGCGGCCAGCCGGACCGCAGGGGUUUGGCGUCUGUCAAACCUGCGUGCUUCAUGCGGACCUGGGGUUGUCCGCGAUGCGUUGGCAACUGCUGUCCUCCAGACCUGGUGGUGAUUGCACUGGGCAGCCGACAUCGACCACCCCUCAGCUUUUAGCCUCUUAGCGUCCGCAGGCUAGUUUCUUUUAAUUUUCCAAGUAAUGACUUUGUUUUGUAAAGAAAGAGAGAUCUAGUUAGUAUAACUUUCUCUCUCUGACGAAAGAGCAACUUUGUUUUCUCCAGCUCAAAUCGGAAUAUGGUGCUUUAUUAAACUUGUUUUUGCUAGUGGUACAUAGGAAUCAGCUUUUUUUUAUUUAGCAAAUACUUAGGAAAGGUACUGGUAUGACAAGGUGAGGAUUCAAAGUCCAUUAGUAGUACAGCAUUCCUGUUGUAGAGGGACCACUUCUAAAUGUGGGAGAUAAAUCAUGCUUCCCUGGCCAGCUCAACUCUUGGCCCCGCAGAGACUGCCAAGAAGAGGAGGCUAGUGCCAAAUGUGGCAGCAGUCUUGAUUUGGUCGAGUAUCUUCUUACUUGUAACUGAAGUGGAACUCCUCCUGUUUCACAUAACACCUGAAGCUGUGCAAGGGAACUAAUUUUACUUUGGAAAGUUUAGUCUUAACUUUCUUUUGUCCAGAUUGAAGCGGUAGAUUUUUGCUUUUGCUUCACUGUAACACAUAUGGUAAGGUAGGUAU